AUGUAAGGGACAUAACCCCCAUUGAUGGUUUAUAAAAAGCCAUUAUUAGGCAAAACUCUUAAACAAAAGGUCCUUGACCCAUAGGGUCUUUUGCAAUGACAUUGUGAAGCAAUGACCUUGACAAAGGUCACAAGGUCAAAGGUCAAGGUCAUGUACAUAUGUGAUUUGGGGCACGACUUGAAGAAUUUUAUGUGUGUUUGCCAACCAACCAACCAACCAACCAACCAAUCAUGAUCAAUCAAUAAUGAUCAAUCAACAAAUCAUGAUCAUGAUCAAUCAACCAAUCAUGAUCAUGAUUAAUCAAUCAAUCAAUCAUGUUUCCGUCUCAUGUGUUUUAUAUAGGGUUCAAGAUCUCCUUUGUUUCUUUUUCGCUGUUUCAAUUGACCCUUUCCAACGUGUUUAACCAACCAACCAACCAACCAACCAACCAACCAACCAACCAACCAAUCAAUCAAUCAAUCAAUCAAUCAAUCAAUCAAUCAAUCAAUCAAUCAAUCAAUCAAUCAAUCAAUCAAUCAAUCAUGUUUCCGUCUCGUCUCGUGUGUUUAAUAUAGGGUCCAAGAUCUUCUUUGUUUCUUUUUCGCUGUUUCAAUUGGCCCUAUCCAACGUGUUUAACCAACCAACCAACCAACCAACCAACCAACCAACCAACCAACCAACCAACCAACCAACCAAUCAAUCAAUCAAUCAAUCAAUCAAUCAAUCAAUCAAUCAAUCAAUCAAUCAUGUUUCCGUCUCGUGUGUUUAAUAUAGGGUCCAAGAUCUUUUUUGUUUCUUUUUCGCUGUUUCAAUUGGCCCUAUCCAACGUGUUUUACCAACCAACCAACCAACCAACCAACCAACCAACUAAUCAAUCAAUCAAUCAAUCAAUCAAUCAAUCAAUCAUCAUCAUGAUCAUGAAUCAAUCAUGAUCAUGAUCAAUCAAUCAUGUUUCAUGAAAAAUUGAAAUUUAAUAUUGUUCUUGCGUCACUUCUGAAAAAAAAAAUCCACAUGUACUCUGAAACUACAAAUACAAUCGACCUCAAAAUUUGCAGUCAGCAGGGCAUACAUGUACUAAAAGUUUAUAAAAAAACUUGGUGCAGAUAUCUCUCAAAGCUUUUCCUAGAGAAAAGAAAUUGCAAUGCCGUAAAAAUUGCUUGCUAGGUCCGUAAAUUUCAGUAAAAGCCUACAAUAAAAUGUCCGCUCCGAGAUUGAAAUACUAAUCUGUGUUACAAACAGGUGCUGAAAAAUGUACAUUAUCAGAAAAUAAUCAAUAAAUGUGUUUUAAAGUUACACCGGAUCAAAUAAAUCCAAAUCAUGCACUGCUUGUGAACUGUCAUCAAAAUGUCAAUUUCCUACAAUGACAAAAGAAAUUACAUUGUGUGCAUUCCGUCUCUAUACAUGUUGUCUGUUCAAAGUCCCCACCUAAAAAGGAAUAAAAAGACUAUCUUUUCGUUAUUAUAAACCCGUGUCACGUGAUGUGGGCGCGCGCGCUGUACCUAAAAUAAAAGAAAAACUUUCCAAACUAAACAUGAAACUUCUCCGGUAACAAUAAUAUAGACCCCAUACAGAAACAAACAAACAAACAAACAAACAAACAAACAAACAACCCCCCCCCCAAUUCAAUUCAAUUAAUUUUAAAGGGGGAAAGACCCCCUACAAUUGCUUUUUUAAAGCAAUUGAUUUAUAUUGUAAAAAACCUUUUUAACCAUUCUGUUCCGUUAAUAAAAAAAAAAAAAAAAUCUCCCCGAGACCCCCUUUUGCCCCCCCCCCUUUUUUUUUAACCCUCCACUUACAACUGAAUGUAGGUUGUGUACUAUCUAUCCUAUCAACGUAAAACGAACGACAACUCCAGUUUUUUCCAUAUUAUUAGGUCUUUCCACUUUUCUGUGGAAAGCCUAUUGUAUUUGUUCUGAUUAUUAUUAUUAUUAUUAUUAUUUUUUUUUUUUUUCCGCCAAAUUUUGUUCUUGCGAUAAAUGUUUGUUUCGCAAUAUGUCGCUUAGAUUUUUUUUCAUAUUGUAUCGUAUAGUUUAUGCGCUUUUAAAUUUCACCCUGCUAAGCCGAACCAUUUUCUUUGUAAGAGUUAUCUCCCUAUUCACUGUUUGUCAUGUGUGUGCAUCUCCUUCGUAACAAAAUAAGAAAGCGACAAAAUUCUUUUUACAAAUUGUUCGUUACAUCCUCAGGAAUUUUUGGCUAAUUUGGAUCGAAGCGAUUCGAUGAAAUUUUAUAGGAGUUAUGUACCUUUACGGAAUAAAUUUGUCGGUAUGUUUUUUUAACUCAUAAACCGUUAACCGUAUAACCCUGGAAUGUUUUUAUUUGAGUCCCCUGGGUCCUAACUUAGAAAAUUAGGUCAAGGUCAAAGGUCAAGGUCAUAUUUUAGAUUUUCAUAUGUCUUUGAUUUCCCUAUAAUUCUUGAAUGGUUAUAGAUACAGAAAAUUUAAGCAGUGAAAAAUGUUCAGUACUUCAAGGGGCAACUUUGUUACAUUAUGACUGUAUUGGUUUUACCAUUAUGUAAGGGACA
rnacentral:lncRNA from 1 species